UAGCGGCCGGGUGCAAGACGUUACUCCGGAAUCACUGAUCCGUAAAGGGUGCGUAGUCGGUACUUUAGGUCUGUCGUGAAAUCCCCGGAUUCAACCUGGGAAUGGCGUUAGAGACCGGCGUACUAAAGUAUGGCAGAGGUUGGUGUAAUUCCAGGUGUAGCGGUGAAGUGCGUACAGAUCUGGAGGAACAUCGAUGAUUAAAGCGCCCACCUGGCUUACUACUGACGCUGAGGCACGAAAGUGUGUGAAGCACACAGGAUUAGAUACCCUGGUAGUCCACGCCCUAAACGAUGAAUACUAGAUGUUUGGCACCUAGCGUACUGAGUGUCGUAGCUAACGCGAUAAGUAUUCUGCCUGGGAAGUACGGCCGCAAGGUUAAAACUCAAAGGAAUUGACGGGGAUCCGCACAAGCGGUGGAGCAUGUGGUUUAAUUCGAUGCAUCGCGAAGAACCUUACCUGGGCUUGACAUGUCCGGAAUUCUGCAGAGAUGCGGGAGUGCCCUCCGGGGAAUCGGAACACAGAUGCUGCAUGGCUGUCGUCAGCUCGUGUCGUGAGAUGUUGGGUUAAGUCAUGCAACGAGCGCAACCCUUGUCCUUAGUUGCCAGCGGUUCGGCCGGGCACUCUAGGGAGUCUGCCGGUGACAAUCCGGAGGAAGGUGGGGAUGACGUCAAGUCCUCAUGGCCUUUAUGUCCAGGGCUACACACGUGCUACAAUGGCGGGUACAGAGGGAAGUCAACCCGCGAGGUGGAGCAGACCCCAGAAAGCGCGUCGUAGUUCGGAUUGCAGUCUGCAACUUGACUGCAUGAAGUCGGAAUCGCUAGUAAUCGCGGAUCAGCAUUCCGCGGUGAAUACGUUCCCAGGGCU
rnacentral:rRNA from 1 species